UAAAUAUAUGUAAGUAAAAUGAAGAGAUGACUAUAGUAUAUAAAUAACAUUAUCGGGCCAGAUAAAUAUAAAUAUACAUGUGAAUAUAAAUAUGAAAAUAUAAUUUAAAAAAAUGAAAUACAGUUGAAAUUAAAGGGGUUCUUUUUUGCUUUUAUUUGGGUAGAGGCAGGGAAUUUAUUUAAAGAAUAUAAGUGUUACAGAAGUAAAAAUCCUAAAACAGAACUAUAUAAUCAAUAUGGAAAAAUAUUGUAUAAAAAUAUAUAAAUAAAUCUAAGUAAUAGGAAAAGAUGUAACAUAGAAUAUAAAUUUAUUAUAAAUAAAAAUGUAUAGCUAAACAUUAUACAUCAAUAUACAUUAUAAAUAUACUUGUGAAUAUAAAUAUUAAAAAAAUUUAAAAAUUUAAAUAUUUAAAUAUUUUUUUAAAUAAAUUGUUGGGGGUUUUUUUAGAUCCUAUUGGGUUAGAGACAGGUUUGGUUUUUUUUUUUCCUUCCGGGUUGUUUUUUGGCAUUUAUUUUAGAGGAGUUGUGUUCUCUUUCUCUGCCUUCCAUGGAUGCAGCCUCAAGGUGCGCGGCAGCCCCUGGCUGGGGUCGACGGCAGUGCUGCCGCCUUGUGGGCAGAGCGCGGUACUGCAGUCCUCCACCGACAGGCAGCCGCGCCGCCGCCAUGUUGGGAGUGGUGUGUCACGGAUGUCAAGGAGUCGCCUGACCUUCUCAAGUUGGUGGCAAAAAGGGUGGGAAAAUUGAAGACAAACACCCCCCCCCCCCCCCCCCAACCCGGUCCGUCUAACCGGAUUGCCUGGACGGCACCCCGAGGCAGGCAUCGGCGAAAACGCCUCUCAGCCAGGGUCCUCUCGUCCGCUUUCCCGCCCUUGGCGAGCCGAGCCGCAACGAAUUCUUCUGAAGUGCCGAAUCUUGAUGACUGUAGCCGAAAAUAGCCAAGUUCGGCUGACGAGCUGAUAAUAGCCAAGAGUAGACAAAAAAAGCCGAGUUUAGCCGAGGAGCCGGAAAUUACCGAAAAUAGCCGAGUUAUACCGAAGAGCCGAAACAUGCCGAAAAUAGCUGAGUUAGGCCGAAGAGCCGAUGACAGCCGAGUGUAGCCGAAAAUAGCCAAGUGUAUCUAACAUUAGCGAGUUUAGACGAAGAGCUGAAUAUGACCUAGUUUAAUCGAACUGUGCUGAGGUCAGCCGAAGAGCCGAACCAAGCCGAAUUUAGCCGAGUUUAAUGGAACAGAACCGAACGACGCCGCCUUCGGCCGAAUUGAACGAGCUCAGCCGAAACAAGGCGAGACCAGCAGAACCAUACGACCGUACAAGAUGGCGGCACCCUGGCUGUCACUUGGUGCAGUACAAGACAGUGGCACCUGGGCCGUUCGGGGUGCUGUACAAGAUGGCGGCGCUUCGUAUUAACUUGGUGCUCGUACAAGAAGGUGGCAUCUGGCUGUCACGGGGUUCUGUACAAGAUGGUGGCGCUCGGACCAUUACGGGGGGCCCUAUAGAAUGGCGGCACCCUGCUCAUCCCGGGGUGCCGUACAAGAUGGCGACGGCCGCCCGCAUCACGUGACGCCGGACGAAGAUGGCGGCUUUCAAGGCCGGGAAUUUUUCGAUUUGUGGCGCUUUUUGCAUGCCUUCCACGGGUCCCCAGUGGCAGUGAUGGCAUUUCGGUUUGUCUGCAGCGGGCGGCGUCACGGGAAAUUAUUCCUAGGCCCAGGUGUUGGUGUCGGCAUUUUGAUCAGGCAGCUGUCAUAUCGGCUACGCCUUGGGGUCCUUCUCGAAGUACUCGGGGCGUGGCCGGGGCGGGACGCCGUAUCGACGCGGUGAUGUCAUUGGGCGGUGCUAUGCCUGCAGUGCGCCGGGGCGGACGGUAGGCGGCACUGUGUGGGCUUCUCAGGAGAUGGGUCCGGGGUGGGACGCAGUUGCGGUGGCGAGGUUUUUGUGAGGGGUGCGCUUGGUGGUGACUGAUAGCUGUGGUGAUAGAUUGCUGGUUUAUGCAAUUACAUAAUCAUGAUGCAAUUA